UACGUAGGGGGCGAGCGUUGUCCGGAAUCAUUGGGCGUAAAGCGCGUGUAGGCGGCUUGGUAAGUCUGGUGUGAAAUCCUGGGGCUUAACCCCAGACCUGCACUGGAUACUGCCAAGCUUGAGUCCGGGAGGGGAGAGCGGAAUUCCUAGUGUAGCGGUGAAAUGCGCAGAUAUUAGGAAGAACACCGGUGGCGAAGGCGGCUCUCUGGAACGGUACUGACGCUGAGACGCGAAAGCGUGGGGAGCGAACAGG
rnacentral:rRNA from 1 species